UGUUCAUCUUCUGCAUGCUCACUGUGUCAGGCAAUUCAGGUAUACCAAACAUGGCCUCCAUGCAAACUAGCUUGGCAUCAGCUGUGUGCAACAACCGAAACUCCUCUGCUUUGUCGAAAUACCUCAACAGCUCCUUCCUCCAUGGAACUAACAUGAAUGGGCAGGUUGCAAGCAUAAGGCGAAAGGAAGUCUCCCCUGCUUUCUUUUCAGGCCCCAAAGCUACAUUAACUUUUGAUUCCUCUACUACCAACCAAGAAAAAGUUAAGACACGGAAGCACACAGUUGAUCCGAAUGCUCCUGACUUUCUCCCGCUUCCAGCCUUCGAGGAUUGCUUCCCUAAAAGCACCAAAGAAUACACGGAAGUUGUCCACGAGCAGUCCGGGACCGUGCUUCACGUCCCCUUUAGGCGCGUCCACCUUUCGGGUGGCGAACCACAUUUCGACACCUAUGACACCAGCGGUCCACAGAACAUCAGCCCACGCGUUGGGCUCCCGAAGGUGAGGAAGGAGUGGAUUGACAGAAGAGAAAAGGUUGGUGGGCCACGGUUUACGCAGAUGUACUAUGCUAAGCAGGGAAUCAUCACCGAGGAGAUGGUGUUCUGUGCUGCUCGUGAGAGGUUAGACCCAGAAUUCGUGAGAUCUGAGGUUGCUCGUGGCCGUGCAAUCAUCCCCUCGAACAAGAAGCACCUCGAGUUGGAGCCUAUGAUAGUGGGGCGCAACUUCUUGGUGAAGGUGAAUGCAAACAUCGGCAACUCUGCUGUAGUGAGCUCAAUCGAGGAAGAAGUCCACAAGCUUCAGUGGGCAACAAUGUGGGGCGCUGACACUAUCAUGGACCUCUCAACGGGCCGCCACAUCCAUGAAACCCGUGAGUGGAUCCUACGCAACUCUGCUGUGCCUGUCGGCACCGUGCCUAUCUACCAAGCGCUGGAGAAGGUUGACGGCAUCGCUGAAAAUCUCACUUGGGAAGUCUUCAGAGAGACACUGAUUGAGCAAGCUGAGCAGGGUGUGGAUUACUUCACCAUCCAUGCUGGCGUCCUGCUCCGCUACAUCCCAUUGACAGCCAAGAGGAUGACGGGCAUUGUCUCUCGUGGCGGAUCCAUCCACGCCAAGUGGUGCCUCGCUUAUCACAAGGAGAACUUUGCAUAUGAACACUGGGAUGAUAUACUAGACAUCUGUAACCAGUACGACAUAGCCUUGUCGAUUGGUGAUGGAUUGAGGCCUGGAUCGAUUUACGAUGCCAAUGAUACUGCUCAGUUUGCUGAGCUCUUGACUCAAGGUGAAUUGACACGUAGAGCUUGGGAGAAGGAUGUGCAGGUGAUGAACGAAGGGCCUGGACACAUUCCGAUGCACAAGAUCCCGGAGAAUAUGCAGAAGCAAUUGGAAUGGUGCAAUGAAGCACCUUUCUACACACUUGGCCCUUUAACAACCGAUAUCGCUCCCGGAUACGAUCACAUCACAUCUGCCAUUGGAGCUGCCAACAUCGGGGCUCUUGGAACGGCGUUACUCUGCUACGUGACCCCUAAAGAGCAUCUUGGGUUGCCUAAUCGCGACGAUGUGAAAGCCGGAGUCAUAGCGUACAAGAUAGCUGCACAUGCCGCUGAUCUGGCAAAGCAGCAUCCUCACGCUCAAGCUUGGGAUGAUGCACUGAGCAAGGCGAGAUUCGAGUUCCGCUGGAUGGAUCAGUUUUCUCUGUCAUUGGACCCGACCACUGCCUUGUCAUUCCACGAUGAAACGCUGCCGGCUGAUGGUGCUAAAGUGGCACACUUCUGCUCGAUGUGCGGGCCUAAGUUCUGCUCGAUGAAGAUAACCGAGGACGUCAGGAAAUAUGCAGAGGAGCACGGCUAUGGAGACGCGGAGGAGGCUGUAUUGCACGGCAUGGAAGCCAUGAGUGCGGAGUUCUUAGCUGCCAAGAAGACUGUGAGUGGAGAGCAACAUGGCGAGGUUGGAGGUGAAAUUUACUUACCAGUGGAGUAUGUCAAAUCUAAGACAGUUUGAAGGGGCUUCUUUCACAGAAGACACAAUAAACUAGGCACGAUCGAGAACCGAGUCUUGGAGCUAUGAUGCAUGGAUUAGCUAAGUCAAGAUUCAAGAAUGAUGAGGUUUGAGAAACCUCUUGAUGCAUUAGUUGCAGCCGUUGAGGCUCGGGGCUUGGACCCGAUCGGGCUGAGAAAGUCCCUUUGCACCUGAACAGGAUAAUGCCUGCGUAGGGAGUGUGCUUUUUUUGUGUUUUGUGUUUGCAGAUGGAAUGAAGAUCGACUGCCCCGUUUCAGCCAUCCUGCACCUUCAUAUGUAUGCUUGUAUGAGUCAAGCAUUUCAACAUGACCUGUGGUGUGUGUUUUGGUUUAGAAACUUAGACAAUGGCAGAUCUAGGUAGGUCAAGGGGUCGACUGACCCACUGCCAGCCCAUCAGGGCCCGUAAACUCCACUAAAUUUUGUUUUUGGAGCUGCCACUGAUCCCGUGGUACAGCAACUCUCCCAACCCUUCAGUGUUAAGGUUCAACUUUUGUUCUUUGUCGGUGUCGUAAGGUGACAACCUUCUUUACUA